UUCCCCUAGUAACUGCGAGUGAAGCGGGAAGAGCUCAAAUUUAAAAUCUGACGUGCGGUCAGCCGUCCGAGUUGUAGUCUGGAGAAGCGUUUUCUGUGUUGGACCAUGUACAAGUCCCUUGGAACAGGGCGUCAUAGAGGGUGAGAAUCCCGUCUUUGACAUGGACUACCAACGCUCUGUGAUGCGCUCUCAAAGAGUCGAGUUGUUUGGGAAUGCAGCUCAAAAUGGGUGGUAAAUUCCAUCUAAAGCUAAAUAUAGGCGAGAGACCGAUAGCGAACAAGUACCGUGAGGGAAAGAUGAAAAGCACUUUGGAAAGAGAGUUAAACAGUACGUGAAAUUGCUGAAAGGGAAACGCUUGAAGUCAGUCGCAUCUGCUGGGGACUCAGCCUUGCUUAUGCUUGGUGCACUUUUCCAGUUUGAUGGGCCAGCAUCAAUUUUGAUCGUCAGAGAAAAGGCCUUGGGAACCGUGGCACCAUAUUUGGUGUGUUAUAGCCCUUGGGUCAUAUGUGACGGUUGGGAUUGAGGAUCGCAGCACGCCUUUACGGCUGGGGUUUUGCCCACACACGUGCUUAGGAUGCUGGCAUAAUGGCUUUAAGCGACCCGUCUUGAAACACGGACCAAGGAGUCUAACAUACCUGCGAGUGUUUGGGUGGAAAACCCAUACGCGUAAUGAAAGUGAUAGUUGAGACCUCUGUCGUGGAGGGCAUUGACGCCUGGACUUGAUCUACGGAGACGGUUCCACGGUAGAGCAUGUAUGUUGGGACCCGAAAGAUGGUGAACUAUGCCUGAAUAGGGUGAAGCCAGAGGAAACUCUGGUGGAAGCUCGUAGCGAUUCUGACGUGCAAAUCGAUCGUCAAAUUUGGGUAUAGGGGCGAAAGACU
rnacentral:rRNA from 1 species